CGUUGUAGAAUAAACAUAAAAGAAAAAUAUUUUACCACUUCUUUCUUUCUUCUUCCGCGAUCUCUAUCUUCUCUCUCGAUGUAAACGGCGAAUCAAUCGCCGAUUCAUCUCAAAACCGUAAUUAAAGUCUCUCUCUCGCCUUCUUCUUCUUCUUCUUCUUCCUCAUCGCUUCCUCAAAUCUCUAACCUCGAAAACAUCUCCAGAGAAUCACAGAGCGAGAGAGACAGAGAGCGAUUGUUGUACUGAAGUCGGAUUGUUGAAAUUGACAUGGAUUUAUGGUUGGAUUUGGUGUGUAGCGUGCGAUUAGGUUUUGAAUCGAGAAAAAACUGGUAGUCAUGAACAAAUUACAGAGGGUUUUAGGGUUUUCUUACAAUUACAGUUUUUUUUUUUAAUUAUUGUCCAAUUUCAUGACUGUUUGUUUGAAGAAUCUGAAAUCAGAACAUGGACAGGUUCAAGUGGGUGGAGAACACCACUCUUGGUAUGGGUUCUAUUGAUUUUAUAUCCAUUUCUUCCGAGAGUGGCACUUGGGGAAGAUACAAUCUACUUCUGAUGAUGUGUGUUUUGUUGUUCACUACCGACAAAUUAUCUCCUUUAUGAUUCACAACUUUCAGGAUGUACUAGGAUGGUAGCAUCAUUCCAUUAGAUGAUUCUUUUGGUUAUGCUGCAAACUUUUCACACAUGCUGGGAUAUGGUAGGCCUCAGAUGAAAGAGCUUAUGAGGCUUUAUGUCACCAUCCACAGAUUUCUUAAGCUCUGUAAAAAAUGGGAUGCUUCGCAUAAACACCUAAAGAAACUGGUGGGAUUAGAAGAAAGCCAACAAGCAUCGGUGAGGUUUUGAGGAUGAGGAAGAGGUGCAGUUACUAGCAUAGUAGUUUGUCUGCAAGUGUCAUCAUAAUCCGGUGUUCUUCCCAAUGUCAAGCAUAAAAGAUGAAAUUUUUGGUCUGGUGAUAUUGCUCUGUUUUUGCUUUGGUUUGUUAUGUAUCAAGAGACCUGAUUACUUUCCAAGAACUUGCCGGCGAAGUUACAAGUUCACAAGAACUUGGUAAGAGUUUUGGGUUGGUGUAAUAGCAGAAACGUGUGAGCUUUGGUUACAGAGUGGACUUGGUUAAGUUCUUCAUCGGCUAUGUCAUGUAGAAGAAGGUUAAGAGUGGUUUUAGGAGUUGUAGAAGAUAUUUGUUAUCUAUCAGAUCAAUGGUCUGAGAUUACAUUUGAUCUCAGCACAAAAGUGAAUGUCUCUGUUUUUUU